GGAAGCGGCUGGGCGGGCAGCCCUCCUCCCGCCAUUGGUGGGCGCCCCUCUCUCCCGGGGAGCCCGAGGAGGCGCCGAUUGGCUGCCGGCGCUUGUCAGUCGGCGAGGGCCGAGUUCCAUUGUUGGCUGGGCGUGCGGCGUGAAUCGCUGCUGCUGCUGCUGCCGCGGCGGCUGGUGCAGCUGCGGGGAGAGCGGGGCUGGCGGCGCGGCGGCGGCGGAGGGAGAAGGGAUGCUGGCGGAAUGGGCGGCCGGGCAGGAAAGCGGCGAGCGGGAGCCGGAACUCCGCUGAGAAGCGUCCGCGCUGCUGCUGCCAGUCAAGGGAAGGACGUGAGCCGAGCCCCGCCGGAGCACUCAUCACCAGUCUAAGAGUGGAAACACAUACUCAGAA
rnacentral:lncRNA from 1 species